UCUCUCUCAGUCCUCGCCAGUCGCCUCCUCUCUAAUUCUCAAUCUCUCAUCUUAGGGUUUGACGAAGUGACGAACCUAGCUAACCCUCGCCUCCAGCCUCUUCUGAAGUCUAACCUCUCAAGGCUCUCAUCGCCCUUGCCUCCUCUCAAGUCUCAUCUGAAGCUUCCUCGUCGAUUCAGUCUUCAUCGUGCUUGCCAUCUCAUAUUUCAUCAUUAAUCGUCUCCAAUCUCAGAUUACUCGAUUUCUGAGUCAAGUGAAUCCUCCAAUCUUCUCAGAUAGCGACACGGUCACAGACUCACACGGCUUCUCCGAUCUACACCCAUGCACCAUCUCAAAUUUUUUGUAUUCUGUAUUUAUAUAUAUUUAUAUUUUUUAUAAUAUAUUAAGUAUUUUGCUAUUACUGUACUAUUUAUAGUGAUGAUGGUUUGAACAUUGCAAUUGUUUUGUCUAAGCAAUGAACCUGUGUUGUCUUAAUACAAGUACUGUUUGGUUCACUAAUUAUGUUUUGACUAUUCGAUCAAAAUUCUCUCAUUUGUUCGAA